GUUCUCACUUCAGCAGCACACAUACUAAAAUUGCAAAGAUACAGGGAAGAUUAACAUGGCCCCUGUGCAAGGAUGACACUAAACUUUGUGAAGCAUUCCAUAUUUUU
rnacentral:snRNA from 1 species